GAAUCAUCUUUCCUAUUGUGCAGCGCUCAUUACCUGUCACCCGCAAGCAGAUGACUGAAGGAAAUUCACCACAAAGUAUUCUCCUAAAGACCCUGACCUGCUUUAGCGGAUGGAAUUUGGCUAAGGCUGAGCACGUUGGGUUAAAGCUGGACUGAAGAGAACACGAUGUCUGGUUCCACACAGAAAGGGGUGGAGACGAAGCACCAGAUCUACUUGAAGACUCUGGACACCAUCUUUUGAGGCAAGCCCCACCUCUCCUCAGGGGCCUGGCGAUGUGUUUUCAGUGUUCCUGUUGCAAUGAGAUAUCUCGUUGCUAAUUUUCUCAAAUUGAAAGGGCCCUGCCUUGAAUUGUUGGGGAAUUAAGAUUCUGGACCUGGUAGCUGCUCAAAACUGCAUCUUAGAAGCCUAGAUGACCAAUCCCUCUGAGGAGAAAGGCUUUUACCUAACUAUCUUUGUGUUCUUCUCAAUGGGUUUUAAAUUUUAAUUGAUGGAAAGAUAUAUUGGUCCAGAAAUGAUCUGCACACAUCCAAGACAAUUGGAGCAAACCUUUGGAUCUAUAAAACCAAUGAAGCAAGAAACCAACUGACCAACCAAAGAACCAAAGAAUCAAUAACCAAACAACCAAACAACUAAACAACCAACCAACCAAUCAACCACAAACAGCACUGCUGCAUCUCAGCAGCAGAUGGUAUCUUGUUGAAAAUCCUUAUGUGAAUUCAGAACAUGUUCUGAAAGGAAACAUUGACCUCCGGCUGUAUCAUGGCAUAUGCAAUCAAACCAACACUUAGGUCACCUUUUGCAUGAAAACUCACAUUAAAUUUAGGUCAUUUAUGUUUAUGCAAGUACCAUCUUGGGAGAGGGAGUUACUCUGUACCUUUCCAUAAUUGAGAAAAGUCCCUGGGGUAGGACCUUGGCAAAUGAUGACCAGAGGCAGCUGAAGCAAUUUUAUGGCUGCUUCCCUGUGUACACAUGCUUACAGUCUCCUUUCAAAAGCUCCCACUUUAGAAUUUCCAGAGGAAAGCGUGCAGUGUAUGAUCACAGAAAUUAUUCUGCUUAGGAGGCUAUAAGAGCUAUGAAAGGAAUGAAGCCUACAGGCAGAGUAGUGCCUGGACAUCCAAAGAUGGCUGUCUGGGGUGGCUGAGAUUGGCACACCCAUUACUGAAUGCAAGCUCCAUAGACUUCCCGUGAUUAUGUCAAUCAGAAAUGUUUCCAUGAAGGCGUUUGCAAUGGAGAGUAGGUAUGAGGGCACGUUUCUCCUUUAGCUAAAGCUUGCAAUGAGAACAAGGCAUAGAAUUAAUGCCUGGGAACAAAGCCCCAGAUGAUGAGCUCAAAUGGGCCUUCCUGGGCUGUAAGAAGACCUUUAUCCACUGCUGAUGUCCACCAAAAGGAAGUGCAUGCAGCCAUGUCUUCAGAGCUCCUGCUUUGCAGGGCUGGCAGCUGCCUUCUUAUCCUGGGCUGAGGCUGUUUCUGGCCAUACAAAAGAUGGCUGUGGAAUGUGAGCUGGCCUGGGGUUGCUGGGCCUCAGGCAUUACUGUAGAUUCUCUGGGGGCUUAGCUCUUGGCAUAACAAUCCUAUCCACUCUGCUACACAUUUCUCUUGCUGUCGGGACUAUCAUAUACAUAAACCCACAAAGAACUGUCUGCGCCAACUACUCUGUUUCCCAGAGAAGCUGAUCCCCAAAGAGCAGGCCGGGAAGAGCUAAUGAACCAGCUCUGAAGGGAGAAUCACGAAGAAGACUUCUCCUAAAGGUCAAGGUGGCUCAGAGCUCUGUGACCUAAUAAAGUCAUGGGGUUCGUGAGCAGGAGAGUCUUUAGCUGGGAACCAGACUGAGAAAGUGGGAAAGAAGGAAGAGAGGUACAGGACAGGCUUUUUACCCUGUGUGCCUCAUAAAAUGAAUGAUCAAAA
rnacentral:sRNA from 1 species